GGUGAGAUGGCUCAAUGGUUAAGAGCACUGACUGCUCUUCCAGAAGACCUGGGUCCCAUUCCCAGCACCA
rnacentral:tRNA from 1 species